rnacentral:rRNA from 1 species
AUCGAACGCUGGCGGCAGGCCUAACACAUGCAAGUCGAGCGAGCGGCGGACGGGUGAGUAAUGUAUGGGGACUGCCCGUUAGAGGGCGAUAACUACUGGAAACGGUAGCUAAUACCGCAUACUAUCGGAUAACCCAUAUGGGAUUAGCUAGUAGGUGAGGUAAUGGCUCACCAAGGCGACGAUCCCUCGCUGGUCUGAGAGGAUGAUCAGCCACACUGGGACUGAGACACGGCCCAGACUCCUACGGAGGCAGCAGUGGGGAAUAUUGCACAAUGGGGGAAAGCCUGAUGCAGCCAUGCCGCGUGUAUGAAGAAGGCCUUAGGGUUGUAAAGUACUUUCAGUCGGGAGGCGUUACCGACAGAAGAAGCACCGGCUAACUCCGUGCCAGCAGCCGCGGUAAUAC